rnacentral:rRNA from 1 species
GGGGAAUAUUGGACAAUGGGGGGAACCCUGAUCCAGCCAUGCCGCGUGUGUGAAGAAGGCCUUUUGGUUGUAAAGCACUUUAAGCGAGGAGGAGGCUACCGAGAUUAAUACUCUUGGAUAGUGGACGUUACUCGCAGAAUAAGCACCGGCUAACUCUGUGCCAGCAGCCGCGGUAAUACAGAGGGUGCAAGCGUUAAUCGGAUUUACUGGGCGUAAAGCGCGCGUAGGUGGCCAAUUAAGUCAAAUGUGAAAUCCCCGAGCUUAACUUGGGAAUUGCAUUCGAUACUGGUUGGCUAGAGUAUGGGAGAGGAUGGUAGAAUUCCAGGUGUAGCGGUGAAAUGCGUAGAGAUCUGGAGGAAUACCGAUGGCGAAGGCAGCCAUCUGGCCUAAUACUGACACUGAGGUGCGAAAGCAUGGGGAGCAAACAGGAUUAGAUACCCUGGUAGUCCAUGCCGUAAACGAUGUCUACUAGCCGUUGGGGCCUUUGAGGCUUUAGUGGCGCAGCUAACGCGAUAAGUAGACCGCCUGGGGAGUACGGUCGCAAGACUA